UUGGACGGUGUGGAGGAAGCGGCGGUCCGGCAGGAAACUGUGCGGAGUUGAUGUUGGAAGGAGGCUCCAGUCAGGUGAUUUGCUGACCCAGUGGAAGUCCAAAAUGCAGCCAGAGAGAGAGAGGGCGACAGACAGGCAGACAUGAUCUGCCUGUGCUGCGGGAAGGAGCCGCUAAUCUAACUUUAAUUCUCCUGCAUAACGUUGCGAUCUGAUUAAGCCAAAAUGAAGUUCGUUUCAUCUGUGGUGAGGUUUGCGGAUUACAGUAAUUCCACCGUGUAUGAAAAUUCAACAAUGUCCAUGGGCACCACCUCCGCAGCUUCAAUGUCUUGGUCGACCUCCACAGACCCCACUAGCACAGCAGCCAACAUUACCCAGCCACACCAGUGCCUCGUAGUGCUCUUUGAAGACAUUGGUGGAUCACGAGUUCGGUUCUGGGAUGUCUUCCUCCUGAUCCCCAAUGUGCUUUUCUUUGCGUUUUUGCUCUGGAAGCUUCCGUCAGCCCGAGCGAAGAUCCGGGCCACGUCGAGCCCCAUCUUCACCACAUUCUACAUACUGGUAUUUGUUGUGGCAACAGUAGGCAUCACACGCGCUAUAGUCUCCAUGACAGUCAGUGCCUCCGAUGUCGCUGUCGUAACAGAUAAGAUUCUUUGGGAGAUUUCACGAUUCUUUCUGUUGGCAACUGAGCUGAGUGUGAUCAUACUUGGCCUGGCGUUUGGACACCUUGAAAGUAACUCGAGCAUCAAGCGUGUGUUGAGUAUAACGACUGUUCUUGCUCUAGGAUACUCGAUAACACAGGGAACCCUGGAGAUCUUGUAUCCUGAUGCACAUUUGUCUUCUGAGGACUUCAAUGUCUAUGGUCACGGAGGUCGCCACUUUUGGCUUGCCAGUUCUUCUUUCUUCUUUCUGGUUUACUCAAUGAUUGUCAUUCUUCCAAAAACCCCCCUACGGGAGAGAAUCUCCUUGCCCUCCAAGAAGAGCUUCUACGUGUAUGCUGGAACUUUGUCAGUGUUGAACCUGAUCCAGGGCAUUGGCAGUGCAUUACUCUGUGCUAACAUCGCAGCUGGACUCUGUUCUGACAAAGGUUCCUGGACCGGAAACGUUAAUGCUCUCCCCCCUCCCUCUCCCUCUCCCCCUCCCCCUCCCUCUCCCUAGAUGCUGCCUGACCUGAUGAGUAUUUCUAGCAUUUCCUCUUUGACAUAGAACACAGCACAGCACAGGAACAGGCCCUUCGGCCCACAAUGUUGUGCCGAACCAAUUACAUUAGUAAUAAAGUGUCCAACUAAACUAAUCCCUUCUGCCUCCACAAUGUCCAUAUUUCCCUCACAUUCGUGUGCCUAUCCAAGAGCUUCUUGAAUGCCCCUUUCACAUCUGCCUCCACCCCCACCCCAGGCAGCACAUUCCAGGCACCCACCACCUUCUGUGUAAAAAAAAAUUGCCCUCACAUUUCCUUUGAACUUUCCCCCUCUCACUUUAAAUGCAUGCCCUCCGGUAUUAGACAUUUCAACCCUGGGGAAAAGAUACCGGCUGUCUGCUCUAUCUAUGCCUCUCAUAAUCAUAUAAACCUCUAUCAGGUCUCCCCUCAGCCUCCGCUGCUCCAGAGAAAACAACCCAAGUUUGUCCAACUUAUCUUCAUAGUACAUGCCCUCUAAUCCAGGCAGCAUCUUGGUAAACCUCUUCUGCACCCUCUCCAAAACCCUGAUAUCCUUCCUAUAAUGGGACAACCAGAACUGAAUGCAAUACUCCAGGUACAGCCUAACUAGAGUUUUAUAAAGCUGCAACACAACUUCCUGACUCUUGAACUCAGUGCCUCGACUAAUGAAGAGAUCCUGGAACUGUGGAGUGGUGCCCAAUGACGUGCAGCAUGCGUUCCCACCAUGGGCUGUUUAAUCAGAAGCAGGUCGUGCUGCUCGUGAGUGGGGAGGAAACCCUGCAGAUGCUGGAAACCUGAAACAAAACCAGAAAAUGCUGGAAACACUCGGCAGGUGAGGCAGCAUCUGUGGGGAGAGAAACUGGGUUAAUGUUUCAGGGCAUAGUACAUACAGCUCAGCACAUCAUGGAAACCAGCCUCCCCUCCGUGGACUCUGUCUACACUUCUCGCUGCCUUGGUAAAGCAGCCAACAUAAUCAAAGACCCCACCCACCCCGGACGUUCUCUCUUCUCCCCCCUCCCAUCGGGCAGAAGAUACAGAAGCCUGAAAGCACGUACCACCAGACUCAAGGACAGCUUCUAUCCCACUAAGACUAUUGAACAGUUCCCUAGUGCGAUAAGAUGGACUCUUGAUCUCACAAUCUACCUCGUUGUGACCUUGCACCUUAUUGUCUGCCUGCACUGCACUUUCUCUGUAACUGUGACACUUUAUUCUGCAUUCUGUUAUUGUUUUGCCUUGUACUACCUCAAUGCACUGUGUAAUAAAAUGAUCUGCAUGCAAAACAAAGUUUUUCAUUAUACCUCAGUAUAUGUGACAAUAAUAAACCAAUUUACCAGUCUUUCAUCUGCCUGUGAGGCCAUUUCCAGAACUCCUUGGGCAAACCCACCUGAGCAGAUACUGGCUUGUGGUGUGCACUGAUGGGGACCUGCCCCAGGUAGGUCCCCUCUAAGUACUUGCCUGACCCUUCCUUGGGAUUCCUCUGUGCUACAUUCACAAUCCUCCAUCCUACCCCCCCCAAGUCAGCAACUCGUCGCUUGAAACCCCACCCACCAUCACUGACCCUUGUUCUGAUGGCUCAACCAAACUGCCAGCCUGAUCCCUCCACCAAGAUCCUACUCCUGAUUUUCACCCAGUGUUCUUCAGCCACCAAAAAGG